AUCACCGAAGUUAAGCACCAUCGAGCUUGAUCAGUACAUAGAUGGGUGACCGCUUGGGAAUACCAGAUGCUGUAAG